CCCAACCCAGUCCCCAACCCAAUUGACGUUCUUUCAACCCGUCCCCAACCCUUAUCGAGCUACCCUCAUCGAGCUCAUCACAUCCCUUGGUCACUCUUUCACCCUUGCUACCCUAUUCGAGCUCACAUCCCCGCCGUCUCCAGCACCACCCUCGCUGCGCCGUUAGCUUCCGCUCCCUCUCCGCCUCGUCUCCUCGUCGCCGUUACCAGCAUCCUUACCGUCAGCGUCAGCGCCAAUGGCUUUCCGCAUCUCUUGCUCGGUGUCGGAGCUCGGAGGCGGCAACUGUUUUCUGCGUCUCUUGCUCGGUGUCGAUGUCGGUCUUGCCCUUGUUGAAGGAAUAGUUGCUUCGUUGCGUUGUUUCAGGGACUGGUAUAACCUUGAGAAGUCGAAGCAGGUGAAGGCAUUUCGUUGUGGAGAGUAUGAUGAGUGCAUCGAGAAGGCAAAGGCAUCUGCUGCUAAUUCGAAUAAGAAGGCGGUGAAGUAUGCUCGCAGGGAGGAUGCUAGUUCUGGAAGUUAGUUCAUCAAAACACUCAGCACCAACUUCUUCUAAAGUUUAUUCUGCAACAACUUUUGGCAGUUGCUCCAUCCUGGUUCAUUCACUUUGUUGGAUUUUCUUGGCUUGGUGGAGAAAUUUUACUAUCUCUCUGGCAGAUAUGACAUUGAGCUGACUAUUGGUGAUGCUGUCAUGGAGAACUCUUUCUUACGGCCACUUGGACAUCUUGAAUUAGAUCUUCCAGAAGCACCUACUAUCAAGGCACCCCAUCUUCCUCUACUAGAUGUUGAUCCAUACACGAGAUAUGGGCCCAAAGCAGAGAUAACCCACUUAUUCAGGACUCCUGAAAGUAAAGUUGCUGUAGAAGGGAGAGUUCAGUUUGAUCUGCUCCAGGUCAUCUUCACCGGUUCGAUGGAGGUAGGCCGUGAAAUAAUGCAUGCUACAGCUAGCAGCAACUUGAAACAAGUUUCACUUGAAUUAGUAGGAAAGUCACCUCUUCUAAUCUUUGAUGAUGCUGAUGUAGAUAAAGCUACUAGCCUUGCUCUCUUGGGCAUAGUAUAUAACAAGGUCAAAUUUCUCUUAAGUGAAUAAUAAUGAAGAAACUCAGGUUACACAUUAUAAUGACACUCUUUAACAUUUUGUUCUUGUUUUGAUUUCAGGGUGAGAUGUGUUGAAAGUUCAGUGUGUUUGUUCAGGAAGGGAAUGUGCUGAAUAAUUAUAUUAAAAGAUGGAUUUAGGCAUUCUUUUCUUCCUCU